rnacentral:rRNA from 1 species
AAGGCAUCGGCUCACCUCAAAUUAACGAGUGGGCUUAAGGGACGUGCUAAACCCAUCCGAUGAUAAAGGAUGCUCUGACCAUUAGCUCCCGAUCAGCAAAGGGUCAAGGGGGACGAAAGUGUUUGGAGGAAAUGCCAAACACUGUCCGGUAUCUUGCGACCUGGAAAUGUAUUUCAGCAAGCAAGAACAUUGGCCAGCAGCCGCGGUAAUUCCAGCUCCAAUAGCGUAUAUUUAAGUUGCUGCAGUUAAAAAGCUCGUAGUCGGUUUUCGGGCGGGUUGCGCCGGUCUGCCUUUGGUAUGCACUGGCGUGACCCGCUUUUCUGUCGGGGACGUGCUGCUGGGCUUCACUGUCCGGCACACGGAGUCGACGCUGUUACCUUGAGUAAAUUGGAGUGUUCAAAGCAGGCAUACGCUCUGAACAUAUUAGCAUGGAAUAACGAUAUAGGACUCUGGCCUAUUCGUUGGUCUGUGGGACCGGAGUAACGACCAAUGGGGGCAGUCGGGGGCAUUCGUAUUUCGUUGUCAGAGGUGAAAUUCUUGGAUUUACGAAAGACGAACUGCUGCGAAAGCGUUUGCCAAGGAUGCUUUCGUCGAUCAAGAACGAAAGUUGGGGGCUCGAAGACGAUUAGAUACCGUCCUAGUCUCAACCAUAAACGAUGCCGACUAGGGAUCGGCGGAUGUUCUUUCGAUGACUCCGCCGGCACCUCAUGAGAAAUCAAAGUGUUUGGGUUCCGGGGGGAGUAUGGUCGCAAGGCUGAAACUUAAAGGAAUUGACGGAAGGGCACCACCAGGCGUUAAAUGCUCUAGCGCAAGCGGCCUUGAAAAGAGCGCCGCUAGUCUCCAUGAAGAGGCGACACCGUCAAAUUGCCGGAAACUCCUGCUACGCCAACGGUACCGCCCUUGAGCUGAAAGGCUCACAGGGCACCUCGGUGAAAAUCGAGGGCAUGGUAAA